rnacentral:tRNA from 3 species
GCGGGUGUAGUUCAAUGGUAGAACAUCAGCUUCCCAAGCUGAAUACGAGGGUUCGAUUCCCUCCAUCCGCUCCA